AUCUUUUCUAUAUAAAGAAAUCUUUAGCCAUAUAAAAAAGCAGGAGAAAAAUAUUCAUAGGCAAUUUUUUAGAAAAGAGGAGCCAAACAAAAAAAACCUAAAAAAUAAAAAAUCAUAACCAUUUCUUCUCCCUCACCCGGACCUGCCGCCCUCUCUCUUUGCCUCUGUUUCCCUCACCAGACCGUCCCUCUCACAGCCGUAACCCUUGGGUUCUUCUCCCUCAGUCGCCAGCCACAGCCUUUCCUUUCCUUGCUCACCAGCCUUUCCUCCCCGAGCCAGGGAGAAGCUGCCCCCUCCCUUUGAAAGCCGACCACAACACUACCCUCACCCGGCUGCUCUUUCCUGUUUCGCCAAGAGGAGCGGCUUCCUUCUCUGAAACAAAACACGAUCUUCCCCCACAGAACAGCCGCACUUCCCAGCCGGCCACAUACCCAUCGGUCCCCGUCUUUUCCACCAUCGUCAACCAUAACAGGUCUUCCUUCAUCAGCCCCGACUGGCCUCCACCAAAACCAACUCCAGAGCAGCCCUCAACACAGCGGCUCCCACAAUCCCAGCUACCGGAAGCAGGGGAGAACAAGAAAAAAACAACAAGAAAACAAAU